GUCACUUCUUCCCUCACUCUCUCCCAGUUCCAUAUAGUAUUUUUGUUUGCACUUCCAUAUAGCUUUUUGUUGUUGUUGUUUUGACUAUGACAUAGAUCAGACUGUCACUUCCUGAGGAUCAUUCUCACAUGAAUUCACUCCAUGAAGAUGCUUUGUCUUGAUGUGAUUCUAAAAAU